rnacentral:rRNA from 1 species
GACGAACGCUGGCGGCGUGCUUAACACAUGCAAGUCGAACGGAAAGGCCCUGCUUUUGUGGGGUGCUCGAGUGGCGAACGGGUGAGUAACACGUGAGUAACCUGCCCUUGACUUUGGGAUAACUUCAGGAAACUGGGGCUAAUACCGGAUAGGAGCUCCUGCUGCAUGGUGGGGGUUGGAAAGUUUCGGCGGUUGGGGAUGGACUCGCGGCUUAUCAGCUUGUUGGUGGGGUAGUGGCUUACCAAGGCUUUGACGGGUAGCCGGCCUGAGAGGUUGGCCGGCCACAUUGGGACUGAGAUACGGCCCAGACUCCUACGGGAGGCAGCAGUGGGGAAUAUUGCACAAUGGGCGGAAGCCUGAUGCAGCAACGCCGCGUGCGGGAUGACGGCCUUCGGGUUGUAAACCGCUUUCGCCUGUGACGAAGCGUGAGUGACGGUAAUGGGUAAAGAAGCACCGGCUAACUACGUG